UGUGUGCCUGAGUGGGUAUAUGUGUGUACCGUGUACAUUCGGUUGCUCAUGGAGACCAGAAGAGGCCAUCAGAUUCCUUAGAUCUGGGGUUGCAGAUGCUUUACAGGUUCUGGGAAUUAAAUUCUGGUCCCGUGCAAGGGCAGAAAGUGGUUUUAACCCCUGAGCCACUUCUCUAACUCUUAAAUGGAUUGUUUUAAGUAGAUUAGUCAUCACAUUUCAGUUUACAUCGAUCGAGUCUCCAAUGCAAGACACACUAUGACUUGAAGUAACGUUAAAGCCUUUUACUUAAAGGCAGCAUGCAAACAGAAAUUAGUCCGAACGCCUUCUUCACCAUCUGCACUUAACUGCAGCAGCAGCGCAGGGCCUGACCACUGCUAGGGAAAGAAAGGCUAUGAAAGGACUAAAUAUAUGGAGCCAAGAACCAAGGAUCAGGAGACAGCAGCACAGUCACAUUCAUUAUAACACCAUUCACAAUGACCAACAGUCAUGAAAUUGGCCUGGGUGCCCAUCAAUGGGAAAGAAAGGCUGGAUCUGCAGAUCACCAUGUAAAGUAAAAAAAAUGAGACUCAGAUAAAGAAACACGUUGUGCUGUCUCAUGCAUAAAACCUAGACACAACAACAACAAUGGCAUAUAAGUAACAUAUAUAAAUAUUGGGGGAAGGGGAAACAGGAGGAUAUGGGGGAAAUGUGGUCAAACUACAUUAUGGACACUUAUGAAAAUGUCUUUGUGAAACCCAUUAUUUUAUACAGUACUAAAUGCUAAUAACACUCCCCUUUCAGACAGGCUCUCAUUGAACUUAAAAUGUAGCCAGUGUGACCUUGAACUUGUGACUCUCCUGUUUCCAUCUCCCAAGUGCUUGGGUUGCUCCCCCCAUGUCCCAGAAAUGAGAUAAUUCAAAUAGACAUCCAUGCAAAUGAUAAGUAUGGCAGGUGGGUUGGAGGCGGCCAGGCAUCCACAGGCUCCCACCCAGGCUCCCACAAUUCCAUUCUCCCUCUGCACUCAUUCGCUUUAUUUUCCAACAACACCAAACAACUGUGCGGCUCAGAGGCGCAUGCCAACUGACAGAACAUUUGAGACCUAGCAACGGAAAGCAAUUAAGUGCUGUUUGGCUCUGCCUCUGAGUAUUCUGGGAAUAAGGAGCAGACAGAAAUGAUUUCGGAGCACUAAGGAAGGCUGAGUGGUUCAAUGGCAUGCUCUUCUUCCUCCCCUCUCCCCUUCCUCAAGCAUUUAUUAAGCACCGGUUGUGUGCCAGACUUUGCACUGUGUGGGCGAGGGGCUGAGGGAGGACUCAUCUCAUGAAGAGUGCCUAGGGAGGCAGAAAGUUAUCUAGAAGCCCAAGAUCUCAGCUGCUGAGUGAGGUACCUGACCACCUCACAAGAUGGCUG
rnacentral:sRNA from 1 species